rnacentral:misc_RNA from 1 species
GAUGAAGAACGUAGCGAAAUGCGAUAAGUAAUGUGAAUUGCAGAAUUCAGUGAAUCAUCGAAUCUUUGAACGCACAUUGCGCCCGCCAGUAUUCUGGCGGGCAUGCCUGUCCGAGCGUCAUUUCAACCCUCAGGCCCUGGUUGCCUGGUGUUGGGGCGCCGCGCACCCUCUGCGGGCGCGGGCCCCGAAAGUCAGUGGCGGGCUCGCCAGGACUCCGAGCGCAGUAAUCUUCUCUCGCUGUGGAGCGCCUGGUGGGUUACCAGCCGUAAAACACCCCAAAUUCCAAAGGUUGACCUCGGAUCAGGUAGGAAUACCCGCUGAACUUAAGCAUAUCAAUAAGCGGAGGA